AGGGGGAUGCUCUCCUUGGAUUCCUCCAACGUGUGACCCUGUGCGGUCUGAAGGAUUCUCUCACCUACUGCCAUUACAUUUCACUGGGGGAUUGGGUGCUUCUGGCCAGCAAACCCCCUGUCUCUCUCCUCUGAGGAGAGGGGAAUACCUAUAGUACUCCUGAUGUCACUUAAGGCACAUGGUGUCUCUGAUGGUACAGGGCAUAUUCCCUGUCACCAUCACCUGCAGCACCCCCACUCUCCUGGAGUGAUUCAGUUUAUGUUCAGCAGAACAAGUUCUUCACAGCCAUGUUAAAAGUGGGCAAGUGAGAUAUCCAAAUUAAAAAAAAUAUUAGGAAUUGAAAAAAAUAAUUGUCCUUUCUGUUAGCUCAUGUAGAUAAAUUAAGGUGGUGGAAACCUGCCAAAUCAGCUUUGCCACUAGAGGAAAAUACUACAUGUAGCUACCCUUUCCAGUAGAGCUUGUUCCUGUGAAAAACAAGCCUGCACAACUGAAGAAGAUGAUCUACAGGAGUGAGAGUGCCAGUGAAAGGAAGAGCUACUGGAGGUGUGACAAACUCACCCAUAUUUCAAGGACUUGGUGAAAUAAGAGUUCUGAGACAACUGAAAGACUGUAAGAGACAGAGACUACAGAAAACAAGGUAACUUCCUGCAAAAAAAACAUCACAAUGUGACUUUUCAGAAAGAAAAUUCCCAGCUUGAAGAUGUUCCAAAGCACAUUUUCUCCCAAGAGUGCUUGGUAAAGGGAAGAAAAUACAAAAGGAAGAAUAUUGCAAAAGAGAAGAAAAUCCACCUAACUC